rnacentral:rRNA from 1 species
UUAAAUUAAUAAGGGCGUAUGGUGGAUGCCUAGGCAUUAGAAGACGAAGAAGGACGCGACAAACAGCGAAAUUGCCUCGGGGAGUUGUAAGUAAGCAUUGAUCCGGGGGUAUCCGAAUGAGGAAACUUACCAAGAAAGGUAUCCUAAAAUGAAUACAUAGUUUUAGUGAAGGAAACCCUGUGAACUGAAACAUCUUAGUAACAGGAGGAAAAGAAAGAAAAAUCGAUUGCCUUAGUAGUGGCGAGCGAAACGGCAAUAGCCCAAACCAAUCUACGGAUUGGGGUAGUAGGACACUUCAUAACGAGAAUAAGAGCUAAAGAUAGCAGAAUGAUUUGGGAAAGUCAGUCAAAGAAGGUGAAAACCCUGUAGGCGAAAUCUGAAGCACUCAGAAGUGAAUCCUGAGUACGGCGGGACACGAGAAAUCCUGUCGGAAUCAACGGGGACCAUCCCGUAAGGCUAAAUACUCUCUAAUGACCGAUAGUGAACAAGUACCGUGAGGGAAAGGUGAAAAGAACCCCGGGAGGGGAGUGAAAUAGAGAAUCUGAAACCAUAUGCUUACAAAAAGUUCGAGCCCGUUAAAGGGUGAGAGCGUGCCUUUUGCAGAAUGAGCCGGCGAGUUAUGGUAUUGUGCAAGGUUAAGUAGAAAAUACGGAGCCGAAGCGAAAGCGAGUCUUAAAAGGGCGAAAAAGUACAAUGCUGUAGACCCGAAACUGAGUGAUCUAGCCAUGAGCAGGUUGAAGUGUAGGUAACACUACAUGGAGGACCGAACCAGGGUACUAUGUAACGUGCUUGGAUGACUUGUGGUUAGCGGUGAAAUUCCAAUCGAACUCAGAGAUAGCUGGUUCUCCCCGAAAUAGGUUUAGGCCUAGCCUUGAAGAAUUUCCUCUGGAGGUAGAGCACUGAAUGUGGAAUGGCCGCGUCUAGCGGUACUGACUGCAAUCAACCUCCGAAUGCCAGAGUAGUUAGCUUCAGGAGUCAGUUUAUGGGUGAUAACGUCCAUAUGCGAGAGAAAAACAAUUCAGACCACCAGUUAAGGUCCCAAAAUAUAUGUUAAGUGGGAAAGGAUGUGGAGUUGCACGAACAGCUAGGAGGUUGGCUCAGAAGCAGCCAUCCUUUAAAGAGUGCGUAAUAGCUCACUAGUCGAGUGGCUCUGCGCCGAAAAUGUACCGGGGCUAAACAUAUUACCGAAACUGUGGAUUUAUGCGAUAGCAUAAGUGGUAGGGGAGCGUUCUAAGGGCGACGAAGAUAGAUCGAGAGGACUAUUGGAGCGCUUAGAAGUGAGAAUGCCGGUGUGAGUAACGUAAGGUAGGUGAGAAUCCUACCCACUGAUUGACCAAGGAUUCCAGGGUCAAGUUCGUCUACCCUGGGUAAGUCAGGACCUAAGGCGAGGCUGAGAAGCGUAGUCGAUGGACAACAGGUUUAUAUUCCUGUACUAUUUAUAGGACUGAAGGAGUGACAAAGGAAGCUAGUAAGAGCCAUUUAAUGGAUUAUGGUCUAAGCACAAAGACUGAUACAUAGGAAAAUCCGUGAUAUCGAACGGUUGAAGUGUGAUGGCGAAGCAGUCUACGGACAGCGAAGUCUUAUGAGGCUAAACUUUUUAAAAAAGCUUCUAAAGAAAUGCUAUAAAUACCUGUACUAAGAACCAACGCAGGUGGUCAAGGAGAGAAUCCUAAGGUGAGCGAGAGAACUAUGGUUAAGGAACUCGGCACAAUGAUCCCGUAACUUCGGAAUAAGGGAAGGUCUUGAAAAAGACCCGCAGUGAAUAGGCCCAAGCGACUGUUUACCAAAAACACAGGUUUCUGCAAAAGCGUAAGCUGAAGUAUAGGAGCUGACGCCUGCCCAGUGCUGGAAGGUUAAGAUGAUUUGUAAGAUGGACGAAAGUCGAUAACAUCGAAGCAAUGAAUUGAAGCCCCAGUGAACGGCGGCGAUAACUAUAAUCGUCCAAAGGUAGCGAAAUUCCUUGUCAGGUAAGUUCUGACCCGCACGAAAGGCGUAACGAUUUGGGCACUGUCUCAACCAUAGACUCGGUGAAAUCUUAAUACCUGUGAAAAUGCAGGUUACC